rnacentral:lncRNA from 1 species
UCUGGUCCUCCCCCCUGUCAAAUCAGACAAAUGAAGCUGCCAUCCAAAAUGAAGAAGACCCAGCCAUGCAAAGUCAAGCAAUCCUUUCCAAUUUCUUAAACUAGCUCGUCAUCAUCACUUUCAAGGACAAGGACAGGCUGCUGCUGCUGCUGCUGCUGCUUUGCCUUAUCUUUCUUGGAAGGAGGGCGUGACUUUGUGCCCAGAUGGGAGUCAACAGCAUCUGUCCUGUGCAACGA